GGGUUGUGAGGUUAAGCGACUAAGCGUACACGGUGGAUGCCCUGGCAGUCAGAGGCGAUGAAGGACGUGCUAAUCUGCGAAAAGCGUCGGUAAGGUGAUAUGAACCGUUAUAACCGGCGAUGUCCGAAUGGGGAAACCCAGUGCAAUUCGUUGCACUAUCGUUAACUGAAUACAUAGGUUAACGAGGCGAACCGGGGGAACUGAAACAUCUAAGUACCCCGAGGAAAAGAAAUCAACCGAGAUUCCCCCAGUAGCGGCGAGCGAACGGGGAGCAGCCCAGAGUCUGAAUCAGCUUGUGUGUUAGUGGAACGGUCUGGAAAGUCCGACGGUACAGGGUGAUAGUCCCGUACACCAAAAUGCACAGGUUGUGAACUCGAAGAGUAGGGCGGGACACGUGGUAUCCUGUCUGAAUAUGGGGGGACCAUCCUCCAAGGCUAAAUACUCCUGACUGACCGAUAGUGAACCAGUACCGUGAGGGAAAGGCGAAAAGAACCCCGGCGAGGGGAGUGAAAAAGAACCUGAAACCGUGUACGUACAAGCAGUGGGAGCACCUUCGGGUGUGACUGCGUACCUUUUGUAUAAUGGGUCAGCGACUUAUAUUCUGUAGCAAGGUUAACCGUAUAGGGGAGCCGCAGGGAAACCGAGUCUUAACUGGGCGUUAAGUUGCAGGGUAUAGACCCGAAACCCGGUGAUCUAGCCAUGGGCAGGUUGAAGGUUGGGUAACACUAACUGGAGGACCGAACCGACUAAUGUUGAAAAAUUAGCGGAUGACUUGUGGCUGGGGGUGAAAGGCCAAUCAAACCGGGAGAUAGCUGGUUCUCCCCGAAAGCUAUUUAGGUAGCGCCUCGUGAACUCAUCUUCGGGGGUAGAGCACUGUUUCGGCUAGGGGGUCAUCCCGACUUACCAACCCGAUGCAAACUACGAAUACCGAAGAAUGUUAUCACGGGAGACACACGGCGGGUGCUAACGUCCGUCGUGAAGAGGGAAACAACCCAGACCGCCAGCUAAGGUCCCAAAGUCAUGGUUAAGUGGGAAACGAUGUGGGAAGGCACAGACAGCCAGGAUGUUGGCUUAGAAGCAGCCAUCAUUUAAAGAAAGCGUAAUAGCUCACUGGUCGAGUCGGCCUGCGCGGAAGAUGUAACGGGGCUAAACCAUGCACCGAAGCUGCGGCAGCGACACUAUGUGUUGUUGGGUAGGGGAGCGUUCUGUAAGCCUGCGAAGGUGUGCUGUGAGGCAUGCUGGAGGUAUCAGAAGUGCGAAUGCUGACAUAAGUAACGAUAAAGCGGGUGAAAAGCCCGCUCGCCGGAAGACCAAGGGUUCCUGUCCAACGUUAAUCGGGGCAGGGUGAGUCGACCCCUAAGGCGAGGCCGAAAGGCGUAGUCGAUGGGAAACAGGUUAAUAUUCCUGUACUUGGUGUUACUGCGAAGGGGGGACGGAGAAGGCUAUGUUAGCCGGGCGACGGUUGUCCCGGUUUAAGCAUGUAGGCUGGUUAUCCAGGCAAAUCCGGAUAAUCAAGGCUGAGGUGUGAUGACGAGGCACUACGGUGCUGAAGUAACAAAUGCCCUGCUUCCAGGAAAAGCCUCUAAGCAUCAGGUAACAUCAAAUCGUACCCCAAACCGACACAGGUGGUCAGGUAGAGAAUACCAAGGCGCUUGAGAGAACUCGGGUGAAGGAACUAGGCAAAAUGGUGCCGUAACUUCGGGAGAAGGCACGCUGGUGUGUAGGUGAAGUCCCUGCGGAUGGAGCUGAGACCAGUCGAAGAUACCAGCUGGCUGCAACUGUUUAUUAAAAACACAGCACUGUGCAAACACGAAAGUGGACGUAUACGGUGUGACGCCUGCCCGGUGCCGGAAGGUUAAUUGAUGGGGUUAUCCGUAAGGAGAAGCUCUUGAUCGAAGCCCCGGUAAACGGCGGCCGUAACUAUAACGGUCCUAAGGUAGCGAAAUUCCUUGUCGGGUAAGUUCCGACCUGCACGAAUGGCGUAAUGAUGGCCAGGCUGUCUCCACCCGAGACUCAGUGAAAUUGAACUCGCUGUGAAGAUGCGGUGUACCCGCGGCAAGACGGAAAGACCCCGUGAACCUUUACUAUAGCUUGACACUGAACAUUGAGCCUUGAUGUGUAGGAUAGGUGGGAGGCUUUGAAGCGUGGACGCCAGUCUGCGUGGAGCCAACCUUGAAAUACCACCCUUUAAUGUUUGAUGUUCUAACGUUGGCCCCUGACCGGGGUUGCGGACAGUGUCUGGUGGGUAGUUUGACUGGGGCGGUCUCCUCCCAAAGCGUAACGGAGGAGCACGAAGGUUAGCUAAUCCUGGUCGGACAUCAGGAGGUUAGUGCAAUGGCAUAAGCUAGCUUGACUGCGAGCGUGACGGCGCGAGCAGGUGCGAAAGCAGGUCAUAGUGAUCCGGUGGUUCUGAAUGGAAGGGCCAUCGCUCAACGGAUAAAAGGUACUCCGGGGAUAACAGGCUGAUACCGCCCAAGAGUUCAUAUCGACGGCGGUGUUUGGCACCUCGAUGUCGGCUCAUCACAUCCUGGGGCUGAAGUAGGUCCCAAGGGUAUGGCUGUUCGCCAUUUAAAGUGGUACGCGAGCUGGGUUUAGAACGUCGUGAGACAGUUCGGUCCCUAUCUGCCGUGGGCGCUGGAGAAUUGAGGGGGGCUGCUCCUAGUACGAGAGGACCGGAGUGGACGCAUCACUGGUGUUCGGGUUGUCAUGCCAAUGGCACUGCCCGGUAGCUAAAUGCGGAAGAGAUAAGUGCUGAAAGCAUCUAAGCACGAAACUUGCCCCGAGAUGAGUUCUCCCUGAGACUAUAAGUCUCCUGAAGGAACGUUAAAGACGAUGACGUUGAUAGGCCGGGUGUGUAAGCGCAGCGAUGCGUUGAGCUAACCGGUACUAAUGAACCGUGAGGCUUAACCUUACAACGCCGAAG
rnacentral:rRNA from 2 species